rnacentral:lncRNA from 1 species
CAGCUGGAAGUUUGCUGGGGCCCCUUCAGCUGUGGCUCUCAACAACUGUGUUCUGCUUUGUUGUACUGAGUGCAUUUUCUGCUGGUUGAGCUGGGAGUCUCAGCACAGGGAGCACCUUGGACCAGGGUCUCUCUGACUACAGGGUCCUUGGUUUCAAGUGUCAACAAUGGCCCUGAAAUCAGCCUGGAUGGAGAACGUAAGACACAAUGUUCAGACUCUGCCUCGCCCCUCGGGGUGGGAGCAAGAGCCAGAGCCUGCAGGUAGCAGCAGCUGGAAGAAGGAGGGUGCUUGUCACUGAUAUGAACCUGGCCUCUCUGUGUGUGCUUGAGUCUGGCUUUUUCUGAGCCCUUCCCUCUUCUUCUCCACAUUCACACAGUCCACACAUCUGAAAGUGGGAAGUAGACUCAGAGGGCCAAAACCCACCAUUUCCACCAAACCCCUUUGUUUUUGUUUCAUUUGGUCAUGGAUGAGGAAACAGGAAGUCCAAAAUGCCUCCCUGUGAAGGAGCUGAGUCUCUAACACCAAGCCCAGGGUCACGCUUCCCUGCAAGCCCUGGAGAGGCAGCACUGAAGCACAGUGUUUAGUCAGCUUUUUGUCACUGUGACCAAAAGACCUGAAAAACUCAGAAUAAGAAGAGUUUAUGCUGAUGCAUGACUUCAGAGAUUCCAUCUAUGGUCAACUGACUCUAGAGCUCUGGGCCCCAGGUGGUGCAGGACAUGUAGCAGAAGGGCAUGGUUAAAGAGGAAAGCAGCUCAGAUCAUGGCCACCAGGAAGCAGAGAGAGGGCUCCACUCACCAGGAACAAACUAAACCCAAGGGCACAUCCCCAGGGACCUUCUUCCUCCAGCCACAGCCUAUCUGCCUAUAGUUAUCGCUCAGUCAAUCCAUCCAUGCAGAUUUAACUGCUGAUCUGGUUAAAGCUCAUGAUCCACUCAUUUCAUCUCUGCCUGUUCUUACAUUGUCUCACACAUGAGCUUCUGGGGGACACCUCAUGUCUAAAUCAUGAUGCACCAUAUGAAGGCCAUCUUUUACCUUUGUCAAUGCUACCACAAGGACAUGAGUGCAAAUGCCAGCCUCACUACCAGAUACCUAGGCCUGUCAUUCAACUCAUAAGUAUGGAUGGACUCACACACUUAUAGAAUCUUACAGUAGACAUAGGUUUUCAACAACGUAAUGAGGAGCAGAAGAUGCACCCAGACCAAAGGAAGUCCUUUCCAAUGCUGCCCAUACCACCUCCAGAGCCCUUUUCCAAAUGGUAUGGAAUUCUGAAAAAGUACUGCCUCAUGCUGGCCAGAGCAGUGGCUUCAUCUUUCUAUGUCCCCCAGGAGUUGCGAAUAUCUCAUGCCACAAUGUAAAAUCCUACAGCUGAGUUCAAUUCUGCAUGUGACUAAUGCAACUGUUUAUUACAUGAAAGACAAAUUCAAAGAGACUCAGUCCUACACAAUGAGUAAAUAUUUAAAAAGUGCAAAUAAUUAUAAAAGAGAAAAAAUAUCUAUUUUAUUGUAUUUU